GAUGAACGCUGGCGGCGUGCCUAAUACAUGCAAGUCGAGCGAACAGACGAGGAGCUUGCUCCUCUGACGUUAGCGGCGGACGGGUGAGUAACACGUGGAUAAACUACCUAUAAGACUGGGAUAACUUCGGGAAACCGGAGCUAAUACCGGAUAAUAUAUUGAACCGCAUGGUUCAAUAGUGAAAGACGGUUUUGCUGUCACUUAUAGAUGGAUCCGCGCCGCAUUAGCUAGUUGGUAAGGUAACGGCUUACCAAGGCAACGAUGCGUAGCCGACCUGAGAGGGUGAUCGGCCACACUGGAACUGAGACACGGUCCAGACUCCUACGGGAGGCAGCAGUAGGGAAUCUUCCGCAAUGGGCGAAAGCCUGACGGAGCAACGCCGCGUGAGUGAUGAAGGUCUUCGGAUCAUAAAACUCUGUUAUUAGGGAAGAACAAAUGUGUAAGUAACUAUGCACGUCUUGACGGUACCUAAUCAGAAAGCCACGGCUAACUACGUG
rnacentral:rRNA from 1 species